rnacentral:rRNA from 1 species
GGCCCCUACGGGGGGCAGCAGUAGGGAAUCUUCGGCAAUGGACGCAAGUCUGACCGAGCAACGCCGCGUGAGUGAAGAAGGUUUUCGGAUCGUAAAACUCUGUUGUUAGAGAAGAACAAGGAUGAGAGUGGAAAGUUCAUCCCUUGACGGUAUCUAACCAGAAAGCCACGGCUAACUACGUGCCAGCAGCCGCGGUAAUACGUAGGUGGCAAGCGUUGUCCGGAUUUAUUGGGCGUAAAGCGAGCGCAGGCGGUCUUUUAAGUCUGAUGUGAAAGCCCCCGGCUUAACCGGGGAGGGUCAUUGGA